CCGGGCCCGCAGCCGGGGCCUCGGGGAGCGCAGCGCUUCGCUCAGUAUCCGCCAUGGCCCGCACGCCUCUCCUCCUCCUCCACCUCCUCCUGGCGCUCUGCACAGGUUUCGUGAGGUCUGCGCCCACUCAGCCGCCCUCGGCGUCCGUGGCCCUGGGCCAGACGGCCACACUCACCUGCUCCGGGGUUAGCAGUAGCUAUGCGGCCUGGUACCAGCAGAAACCCGGCCGGGCCCCGGUGCUGGUUAUAUACUGGAGUGACAGCCGACCCUCCGGGAUCCCCGACCGGUUCUCCGGCUCCAAGUCCGGGAGCACGGCCACGCUGACCAUCGCCGGGGCCCAGGCCGAGGACGAGGCCGAUUAUUACUGUCAGGAUGCUAGCAGUGCUGCUGCUGCUCACGGUGACACAGGCUGAUGGGGAAGUGAGACAAAAACCCCCGUCCCCCGGCCCUG